rnacentral:rRNA from 1 species
CUCGUAGUUGGAUUUCGGAAGGUCCUUAGCAAUCCGCCCCUUCGGGGAGCGGGUUGCUGGCCUCCUAUGUUCCUAACGGUCCUCACUCGCGAGGGUGGGGAAUCAACCGCUAGGAUCGUUUACUUUGAGGAAAUUAGAGUGUUCAAAGCAGGCGUAACUCGCCUCCGAAUACGUUAGCAUGGGAUAAUGGAAUACGACUUCGGUCUUGUUUCGUUGGUUUCGCUUGGCUGAAGUAAUGAUUGAUAGGGACAGUUGGGGGCAUUAGUAUUUAGUUGUCAGAGGUGAAAUUCUAGGAUUUACUAAAGACUGACCAAUGCGAAAGCAUUUGCCAAGGAUGUUUUCAUUAAUCAAGAACGAAAGUAGGGGGAUCGAAGAC